rnacentral:rRNA from 1 species
AAGGUCUCGUUGGUGACCAGCGGAGGGUCAUUACCGAGUUUACAACUCCCAAACCCAAUGUGAACCAUACCAAACUGUUGCCUCGGCGGGGUCACGCCCCGGGUGCGUCGCAGCCCCGGAACCAGGCGCCCGCCGGAGGGACCAACCAAACUCUUUACUGUAGUCCCCUCGCGGACGUUAUUUCUUACAGCUCUGAGCAAAAAUUCAAAAUGAAUCAAAACUUUCAACAACGGAUCUCUUGGUUCUGGCAUCGAUGAAGAACGCAGCGAAAUGCGAUAAGUAAUGUGAAUUGCAGAAUUCAGUGAAUCAUCGAAUCUUUGAACGCACAUUGCGCCCGCCAGUAUUCUGGCGGGCAUGCCUGUCCGAGCGUCAUUUCAACCCUCGAACCCCUCCGGGGGGUCGGCGUUGGGGAUCGGGAACCCCUCAGACGGGAUCCCGGCCCCGAAAUACAGUGGCGGUCUCGCCGCAGCCUCUCCUGCGCAGUAGUUUGCACAACUCGCACCGGGAGCGCGGCGCGUCCACGUCCGUAAAACACCCAACUUUCUGAAAUGUUGACCUCGGAUCAGGUAGGAAUACCCGCUGAACUUAAGCAUUAAA